AGUGAACGCUGGCGGUAGGCCUAACACAUGCAAGUCGAACGGCAGCACAGUAAGAGCUUGCUCUUUCGGGUGGCGAGUGGCGGACGGGUGAGGAAUACAUCGGAAUCUACUUUUUCGUGGGGGAUAACGUAGGGAAACUUACGCUAAUACCGCAUACGACCUACGGGUGAAAGCAGGGGAUCUUCGGACCUUGCGCGAUUGAAUGAGCCGAUGUCGGAUUAGCUAGUUGGCGGGGUAAAGGCCCACCAAGGCGACGAUCCGUAGCUGGUCUGAGAGGAUGAUCAGCCACACUGGAACUGAGACACGGUCCAGACUCCUACGGGAGGCAGCAGUGGGGAAUAUUGGAGAAUGGGCGCAAGCCUGAUCCAGCCAUACCGCGUGGGUGAAGAAGGCCUUCGGGUUGUAAAGCCCUUUUGUUGGGAAAGAAAAGCAGCAGGUUAAUACCCCGCUGUUCUGACGGUACCCAAAGAAUAAGCACCGGCUAACUUCGUG
rnacentral:rRNA from 1 species